UGUUUCAAAUUUGGAAUAAUGCUCAUGCAGAAAUGGCAGAUGAAGUCAGGAAAUAUUUCUAAUUUCUUAGCAAGAAUUUUACAUUCAACCAGAAACAAAAUUUGUCAAAAGCGGUCAAAAAGAAUGUAGAGAAACUAGAAAAAAAAAUAUUGGAUGAAGCCGAAUUAAUGACCGAUGUUGUUAAAAUUAAAAUGUUAAACAACACACUUAUGUUUACUCUUUUCGUAGAACAUUUUCAAGAGAACCAGGUACUAUUGUUCCAAGUGCAAGUUUUUGAUAUUUCAGAAGAGGAUUCUGUAAUAAAAAGUAAAAUAGGACCAACAUCCACUUUAUUUGUUAAAGGCGAAAAUUUAUAUAAUGAACGAAGUCAAUGUUACGUAUACAUAAAAAAUCAAAAUUUGAUUGAAUCAAAGGAUGUUAGAAGGAAUCUUCAUAUUGUUUAACUCCUAUUACUGCUUUGGAUAUUCAUAUCGAUUUGUCAAAGAAACUUUAAUUUAUUCAAAGAAUCAUGCUAAAAAUAAAUCCGAAGGAAGAAGGAGAUAAAAAAAGCUGCUGGAGCUAAAAGGAGAAUGACAAACUUUGAGAUGGCAGUAAAAAAAUUAGGAGAAGAACUGAACAAUUUUACAAAUAAGUUUGG